UGUAUCCUACUUGAUACAAGGAGUCAUGAGUUGGAGACCUUCAAUUUAUUGGACUAUAGUAUCUCAAGUGUCAGUGUUGAUCCUAUUAUGAAGACGGUUGUGGACACUGACAGAGUGCAUAAGAAAGCCAACAGGGCAAUAAAAUGAGAGACAGUAUGUGGAUGCUGAUACAAAACAUUAUCUUGGAAGACUGUGCUAUGUUAGAAAGAUUGAAGAUUAAGAUUGAAAUUAGGGUUGCUAAGAGAAACAAAGUUGAAGU
rnacentral:lncRNA from 10 species